CAUAAAGACUUAUCAAAAUUUAUAGUCCCUGAUGAUCAAGGUAUAGUAAAACUCCCUGGAUCUCCACACUUUUGUGGGAGUUUAUUUUGCAAUAUAGCACUGUAAUGCUCUGUAAUCUUGACCACUAAGGUCUCCUCUAUUUUUCUCUUCUUUGUCAGGAUCUCCUUCAUAAAUUUGGCAUAAGCAGGCAUUUGUGAGGGCACUUCUGUAAAUGAAGAACUGAAAUACAAAAGUUGGACAUCGCCUUCUAUUAAUGUCUUAAUUAUGAAGAUUGGAGUGUGCAAGUCAAAGAUGCAACUUUCUAAGUUCAUAAAGUACCUUACUACUAGAAGAUUAAGGCAGCAUCUGAGGUACUCAAAAUUGCUACAACCUAGGGGCUUAAUACUUUCUGUUACUAAUAUAGCAGUAACUAAAAAGAUACUGUCCAGCAGUUCACUCAGGAAUGCACCCGGUCCUGGUUUGUUUAGCACAAUUAUUUGUGCACAAAUUAAUACCAAUGUAUAUUGGCAACUGAUCCUUCAAUGUUACUGUGAUUACAUCAACUUCAAGUCCAUCAACAUGACAACCAACUUAUACCAAAAAAGCUGCACCACUGAUCAUGUGCUUUGGAAGAGACUACACAGUUGUCUGCAAUUUAAUUAUUUCCCAGUGGUAUUAGUAUGGCAUCAUGCUCACUCUGGGGGUGAUUUGAUUACAUAAAACAAAGAUAUACCAACAUGUCAGAAUCCACAACAUUCCUUCUAUACUCAACUGGUAGCAGAAUGUUGCCUCGUAACUUGUUUGCUAAUUUUGCAGGUUGAAGAUAUAGGGUCAGAUUUCUAAUGCAUAUGCAUGGGGUUGAUAAUGGUUUCUGCAGCAAGAAUAAAUGACUACUUACUCAACCUGCAACUGCAUAUGAUUCCAUACACAUUAGUUUUAAUCUUAAUUAAUGCACAUUGUGUGGUUGAUGAAUCUGUUCACUGGAAGCUACUAUCCACAUACUUCUUGAAGAAUACAUCACACACAUAUUUGUUGCUUGGUUAUAGCUCCUUAUUCAAAAAUACAUUACGAUGUAUUUGGGCUACAAUUUCUGGGAAUUAGCUAUUGCUUGGUUUUCAAACAACACUAUUUCUGCCCACCAAGUUGCUCAACAAAGUUCAGUGUCAAGCAGCCUGCUUCUUCUAUUGAGGAUACUUACUACACUGUCUUCUUUAUGAUUGUGUCCUUUCUGUUUGGAGUUGUUUCAACACUCAGUUGUAUUAGCAUUAUAUAAUGCUCAGCCUGUGGUUGCUACAACAACACAUAGAAAGAUACUAGUCAGCUUCUCCAGGUUCUGGUUUCCCAUUUCACAGCAGGCUAAAACUUUGUUGUUGCUGCACAUAAAUUCAAGAAAUCUUCAGAUUUGAGGCAUUUGCAGCUUCAUUUGAUGAAGGUCAUUACACCACCAGGAAACUCCACUAAUUUUCAGUUAAUGCGGCACAAAGACACAAGUGUUAUUUCAAUCUCCAGUUCAAUGAACAUCUGGAUGACACUUCUUCCAUGUGCAGAUUCAACUUCCAUUAACUGGUUUCUUGAUCAAAUGUUACCAUUACCAUUGCAAAAUGGAUAUCAACUAGACAAAAGGAAAAUGACUUGUUCUGUAUCAAUAAUAUUGAUGCAACUACUCAGCCCCAAACUGAAGGUGUCUGAACUGCUUUGUUGUACAUCAUGUGGAUUCCUACAAUUUUACUCCAGUAGAUUGCAACAAAUGGCGCCUGGUGAGAGCUUUGUAGGUGCUACAAGGGAUUGUUUACAACUGGUGUGUGAAUUCAAUGACGUCAGCAACAAUUGGAUGUUUCAAAUUAGUAGCCUAGUACUUUUAAGUUAUCAUUAUGCUACUGCUACAUUGUAUUUGGUAGCAAUAGCCAUUGACUUUCUUUGUUUUUUCUUACUUACUUUCCUUUUGCCUGAACAAUUGUAUCAGUUUGGGGCUUAUUAUAUA